AAGUCGUAACAAGGUUUCCGUAGGUGAACCUGCGGAAGGAUCAUUAUCGUGGGGCUUCGGCCCUCUCGAGAUAGAACCCUUGCCUUUUUGAGUACCUUUCGUUUCCUCGGCGGGCUCGCCUGCCAAUGGGGACCCCAAUAAACCCUUUGUAAUACCUGUAAUCGUCUGACAAAACAAACAAAAAUUAAAACUUUCAACAACGGAUCUCUUGGUUCUG
rnacentral:misc_RNA from 1 species